GCAAAAUCAGCCUCUUCCAU
rnacentral:sRNA from 1 species